rfam:Mus musculus chromosome 1, GRC primary reference assembly.
UAAGAACGCCAUACCACCCUGAAUGCACCGGAUCUCAUCUGAUUUCAGAAGCUAAGCCAGGUUAGGCCUGGUUAGUACUUGGAUGGGAGAAUGCUUUUUUUUUUUUAAUGAGAAUCUUUUAGGAUGCAUUAGAGU